rnacentral:rRNA from 1 species
GAGAAAGCCCUUCGGGGUGAGUAUAGCGGCGGACGGGUGAGUAACGCGUAGGAAUCUACCUGGUAGUGGGGGACAACAUGUGGAAACGCAUGCUAAUACCGCAUACGCCCUACGGGGGAAAGCGGGGGACCUUCGGGCCUCGCGCUAUCAGAUGAGCCUGCGUAAGAUUAGCUAGUUGGUGGGGUAAAGGCUCACCAAGGCGACGAUCUUUAGCUGGUCUGAGAGGAUGAUCAGCCACACUGGGACUGAGACACGGCCCAGACUCCUACGGGAGGCAGCAGUGGGGAAUAUUGCGCAAUGGGCGAAAGCCUGACGCAGCCAUGCCGCGUGUGUGAAGAAGGCCUUAGGGUUGUAAAGCACUUUCAAUUGGGAGGAAAGGUUAUGCGUUAAUAGCGUAUAACUGUGACGUUACCUUUAGAAGAAGCACCGGCUAACUCCGUGCCAGCAGCCGCGGUAAUACGGAGGGUGCGAGCGUUAAUCGGAAUUACUGGGCGUAAAGCGCGCGUAGGCGGUUUAUUAAGUCGGAUGUGAAAGCCCCGGGCUCAACCUGGGAACUGCAUCCGAUACUGGUCGACUAGAGUACGAGAGAGGGAGGUAGAAUUCCACGUGUAGCGGUGAAAUGCGUAGAUAUGUGGAGGAAUACCGGUGGCGAAGGCGGCCUCC